CCUACGGGAGGCUGCAGUGAGGAAUAUUGGUCAAUGGACGAGAGUCUGAACCAGCCAAGUAGCGUGAAGGAUGAAUGCCCUCUGGGUUGUAAACUUCUUUUAUAUGGGAAUAAAUUGUUCCACGUGUGGGAUUUUGUAUGUACCAUAUGAAUACGGAUCGGCUAACUCCGUGCCAGCAGCCGCGGUAAUACGGAGGAUCCGAGCGUUAUCCGGAUGUAUUGGGUUUAAAGGGAGCGUAGGUGGAUUGUUAAGUCAGUUGUGAAAGUUUGCGGCUCAACCGUAAAAUUGCAGUUGAAACUGGCAGUCUUGAGUACAGUAGAGGUGGGCGGAAUUCGUGGUGUAGCGGUGAAAUGCUUAGAUAUCACGAAGAACUCCGAUUGCGAAGGCAGCCCACUGGACUGCAACUGACACUGAGGCUCGAAAGUGUGGGUAUCAAACAGGAUUAGAUACCCCUGUAGUC
rnacentral:rRNA from 1 species